AUGGUUGUGUGGGUGCAGUCAGAGGAGCCUGUGACGGGGUGGGGCAGCCCUGAGCAGAGAGAGGGCAUGUCUCUGCCUAGGGUGAAGCACACUGUGGCUGGGGAACCCCAGGUUCUACAGUGGACCACCCCGGAGUCCUCAUGGAACCAUGGCUGUGGCCGUUCCACCCACACGGGGAUGUGGCGCCUAGAGGUCUUCCAAGGAGCAACCGUGAGUGAGCGCGGAGUCUGCCUUCUGCCUGCAGCACGGUCCUCCACCCUAGAGCCCUCUUGCGUGGGACGCUGUCGGGAGCAGCUCCGGCCACGUGCCCUGCAAAGAACCGGACGGCAGCGUGGCCUGGUGUCUCCUGACUCUGCUGUUUGGCACUUGAGGGACUGGGGCCAGGUGAGGGUGACCUGGUGGGAAGGAAGGCUGCAGUACAGGCCUCAGUGCAGGCUGUCACCACCCCCCUGUGCUGCCCCGUGUCCCAGCUCCGUCCCUUCCUUUAGCUCUGGGCUCCAAAAUUCCAAAACACAUCCAGUUCGAAGAGGAGACCAGCACCCGCUGCCUGCCUGAUGCUCUCCCCGCUGCAGCCGUAGUGGAAAGUGCCGCCAUCAGCACUUCUCCCAAUUACAGUGACCCUGUUGUGUUAAUUAAUUAAACCUCCUUGUCGCCUCGAGAGGAGGCCACGGUGUGAUUCCUGCUGAGUGCUGAGGGCGGAGGGGCAGGGGGUGCAAGCUCCAGCCCACUCACUCAAAAGAAAAGUGCGGGGCCCCGAGAAAGGGAUGUAGGAACCUCCCUUCUCCUCAGCCCAGGCUGCCACCACACCCCUACAUAAAGCCCCUGAG
rnacentral:lncRNA from 1 species